ACAUCCGUAGCUUGCUUUGUAAGUCUUUUGUGAAAUCGGGCAUCUUAAGUGUCCGUCGGGCAAAAGAUACUGCUUAGCUAGAGACCGGGAGAUGUGAAGAGUACGAAUGGAGUAGCGGUAAAAUGCGUUGAUCCCAUUUGGACUAACAACAGCGAAGGCACUUCACAAGAACGGAUCUGACAGUGAGGGAUGAAGGCUAGGGGCGCAAAUUGGAUUAGAUACCCAAGUAGUCCUAGCAGUAAACCCUGCACACUGAACAUCGGGGCCUCUUCGAGAGGUUUCGGUGCUGUAGAGAAGUCGGAGAGUGUGCUACCUGGGAAGUAUAGUCGCAAGGCCGAAACUUAAAGGAAUUGGCGGGGGAGCACAAGC
rnacentral:rRNA from 1 species